rnacentral:rRNA from 1 species
UACGUAGGGCGCAAGCGUUGUCCGGAAUUAUUGGGCGUAAAGAGCUCGUAGGCGGCCUGUUGCGUCCGCUGUGAAAUCCCGGGGCUUAACCCCGGGCGUGCAGUGGAUACGGGCGGGCUGGAGGGAGGCAGGGGAGAACGGAAUUCCUGGUGUAGCGGUGAAAUGCGCAGAUAUCAGGAGGAACACCGGUGGCGAAGGCGGUUCUCUGGGCCUGUUCUGACGCUGAGGAGCGAAAGCGUGGGGAGCGAACAGG